rnacentral:rRNA from 1 species
CUACGAAGGUCCCAAGCGUUAUUCGGAUUCACUGGGCGUAAAGAGUACGUAGGCGGUUUGGUAAGUCAGGUGUGAAAUCCCGAAGCUCAACUUCGGAACUGCAUCCGAUACUGCCAGACUCGAGUAAUGGAGAGGCAGGUGGAAUUCUCGGUGUAGCAGUGAAAUGCGUGGAUAUCGAGAGGAAGACCAAUGGCGAAGGCAGCCUGCUGGACAUUUACUGACGCUGAGGUACGAAGGCUAGGGGAGCGAAAGGGAUUAGAAACCCCAGUAGUCC